UACGUAGGUGGCGAGCGUUGUCCGGAAUCACUGGGCGUAAAGGGCGCGUAGGCGGUUUAUCAAGUCGCAUGUGAAAUACCAGGGCUCAACUCUGGGGGGGUCAUGCGAAACUGAUGGACUUGAGUGCAGUAGAGGGAAGCGGAAUUCCUGGUGUAGCGGUAAAAUGCGUAGAGAUCAGGAGGAACACCGGUGGCGAAGGCAGCUCGCUGGGACGUUACUGACGCUGAGACGCGAAAGCGUGGGGAGCAAACAGG
rnacentral:rRNA from 1 species